AGAGUUUGAUCCUGGCUCAGAUUGAACGCUGGCGGCAUGCCUUACACAUGCAAGUCGAACGGCAGCACGGGCUUCGGUCUGGUGGCGAGUGGCGAACGGGUGAGUAAUGUAUCGGAACGUACCUUUCAGUGGGGGAUAACGUAGCGAAAGUUACGCUAAUACCGCAUAUUCUGUGAGCAGGAAAGCAGGGGAUCGCAAGACCUUGCGCUGAUUGAGCGGCCGAUAUCAGAUUAGCUAGUUGGUGGGGUAAAGGCCUACCAAGGCUACGAUCUGUAGCGGGUCUGAGAGGAUGAUCCGCCACACUGGAACUGAGACACGGUCCAGACUCCUACGGGAGGCAGCAGUGGGGAAUUUUGGACAAUGGGGGCAACCCUGAUCCAGCCAUGCCGCGUGAGUGAAGAAGGCCUUCGGGUUGUAAAGCUCUUUCGGCCGGGAAGAAAUCGCAUAGGUUAAUACCCUGUGUGGAUGACGGUACCGGAAUAAGAAGCACCGGCUAACUACAUGCCAGCAGCCGCGGUAAUACGUAGGGUGCGAGCGUUAAUCGGAAUUACUGGGCGUAAAGCGUGCGCAGGCGGUUUCGUAAGACAGAGGUGAAAUCCCCGGGCUCAACCUGGGAACUGCCUUUGUGACUGCGAAGCUAGAGUACGGCAGAGGGGGGUGGAAUUCCACGUGUAGCAGUGAAAUGCGUAGAGAUGUGGAGGAACACCGAUGGCGAAGGCAGCCCCCUGGGCCGAUACUGACGCUCAUGCACGAAAGCGUGGGUAGCAAACAGGAUUAGAUACCCUGGUAGUCC
rnacentral:rRNA from 1 species